ACACGUGUAGACAAAGGGGGACUCCACAACACAAAGCUAGAUGUGCCCUCUCAAACUUUUUCCACGACAAACGGCGACGCGCACAGAGCAAAACACCCCCAGGUGGAUUUUAACACCAGAUUAACCAGGAAAGCGUUUCUGCUGUUGGAGGUUAAGGAAAGAAAAACUGUGGAAAUCACAUGGAAGAUGUACAGUCACCUAUCAAGCAGCUUUAAGACGCAGAGGAGGAUUAAGAGACUGUGCAGUUUUCUUUUGGAGAAGGUGAAGACUCAUCUUAUAAGGAUUUAAACUUCAGGAGCAGCACUGCCAGGCGGGAUGCAUUUCAGGCACACUUGGAAAUAUGAAACUCAUGGAGACACUUUGAGGAUUAUACAAAUGUGUAGUGUGUCUCUCCACAAGACAACUUUCCAGCCAAAAGUCACUGGGACAGCAGGAUAUUGCAUUUGUGAUCCUCAGAGGCCCUCCGCAUUGGGAGUGUGGGAGUGGUGAGGUCUGGGAGAUCAUGACCUUAAUUCUCUCCAAGACAGACGGUUUAAUUAACACUGGAAGCAUCCUCCCUGGCUCCAGACCUCUACAAUGGGAAUGUACACGGGAAUUGGAUUGCCAAGAUACAUUAUUUCCAACCCACCACUACCCAUGGCUGUGCAGCAAUAACCACCGAUGAUGAAGGACCAAUGUAGACAAAAUGCCCCCUUCUACAAAGUCCACAUUGCGAGAAGACCACCUCACAGGGAUUUUCCCCUUCACCAGGUGGGGCAGAGUGAGAGUCAGAGGGAAGAUCUUCUGGUCUAGACAGGACUGUCAGGGUGAGUGUGUAUUGCAGAUCUGCAGAAAAACGUUCAUACAAAUGAAGACGUUUAUGAAGAUAAAGAGGAAAACAGCUGAAUGGAGAAAUAUCUCUUAAGUUAUGAAUAUUCGUCACACAACUUCAAAUUGUUUGCCAACAUCCAUUAUAACUCCUUUACCUGCAUUUAAGGUUUUUAACUUUAAGUAAUUGAGCAAAGAUCUUGUGGCUCUCAGGAGUUACUUUUUAGAGGAAAUCCCUAGCUGUAAAUAAAUUAGGAAAUCAGUAUGGAUUAUGUUAUUUUGUAUGUGUUUUGAGAAUUAUGAGUUUGUUUGCUCAUUAAAUAAAACAUGUUUAUUAGUUGCAUGUUCAUAACCACAAUGUGUGUCACUAUUGUAAUGUGAAUAAUUGAAAAGCCAAUUAUUGAUAAUCCUCCCUGAUAGAAAUUCAUUUUCUUUCGCUCUUCCACAAUACUGUAAUAGCUACUUUUUCAGCAUAGCUUUGUACUAAUGGUUUUCAUGUAGUACAUGUGAGAGAACAUGUGGUCAGAACAAUGUAUAGGCAUCUAAGGAUUCACAGAGCUACACAGUUUUGAAAACCCUAGUGUCUGGUACAAUAACAUAUUUAUGUUUCUGCACUGUAUCUGUUAAGAAGUAAUGAUCCCGAUUUGGUCUCAGGAGAACAAAGACAACGUUAAGGACAUGUGCUCAUGCAAUAUGUAAAGCUCUUCGGAGAAAUACUCCCCGACUGUACUGCUCUCCUGUGACGGUAUAUAUGUACAGCGUUUCCCUUUUUAUCAUCAAGUAGAAUAUGAAUGAAUAUUGUAUUGUUCCGCAAAACAUUGAGGUAAUAAAAUGUUGAAUAAAGAAUUGUAAUGGUUA